UGCGUAGGUGGUUGUACAAGUUAGCAGUGAAAUUCCGGGGCUUAACUCCGGCGCUACUGCUAAGACUGUAUAACUUGAGUGCAGGAGGGGUAAGUGGAAUUCCUAGUGUAGCGGUGGAAUGCGUAGAUAUUAGGAGGAACACCAGUGGCGAAGGCGACUUACUGGACUGUAACUGACACUGAGGCACGAAAGCGUGGGGAGCAAACA
rnacentral:rRNA from 1 species